rnacentral:rRNA from 1 species
GGCGGGGCGGGGGCACGGGGGGCCUACGGGAGGCAGCAGUAGGGAAUCUUCCGCAAUGGACGAAAGUCUGACGGAGCAACGCCGCGUGAACGAUGAAGGCCUUCGGGUCGUAAAGUUCUGUUGUUAGGGAAGAACAAGUACCAGAGUAACUGCUGGUACCUUGACGGUACC